GGCUUUUUUCCCGACUUCCGCUCUUUUUUAUUGUUCUUUUUUCUGACCUUCUCGUGUUUUCAAGCGUUGCCUCGCUCGAGCCCUCCUCGGUUCGAGCGCACGCACAUCCUUGAUCAUUACCCCGCAGCUCCCCGCGCGUUACACGCACGCCUACACUGUUGCUCAUACACACCCGCACACGAUCCGAGGUUUGCUUUCAUACACAUCCAUACACCCUCCCCUCCCUCCCUUCCGUGCUCCGCCCCCCUCCUCUCCUUACCCAACCUACGUCGGCACCCUCUCUACAACAAGAGACACACAACACGCGCUGACAAGAGCAGAUUCACAAGAAAGAAAAAGAGUGCUCCUUUCUCUCACACGCUCACACACACACACACACACACACACACACACACACAGAUGGCGCAGGUAGCAGAGGAGUCGCGGGCGCUGGAGAGCCUCGUGUUCCGCAACAAGUACCGCCAAAUCAAGUCGAUCGGCAAAGGCAGCUUCGGCGAGGCGGUACUCGUCCGCUCAAAGUCGGAUGGCAAGCGCUACGUGGCCAAGGCAAUCGACUCCAUCUCCAUGACGCCCAAAGAGCGGCGUGACGUGCAGAAUGAGAUUCGCAUUCUAGCCGCCGUCGACCACCCCAACAUCAUUCGCUACCACGAGCACUUCGAGGAUGACACUCUCAUCUUCAUUAUCAUGGAAUACGCCGACGGCGGCGACUUGAGCUCCCGUAUAAAGGAGGCAAAGAAGCAAGACGUGCCGCAGCCCUUCGACCCGAACUUGGCGAUGUUCUGGUUUCUGCAGAUCUGUAUGGCGCUCAAGUACCUGCAUGACAACCACAUCCUUCACCGCGACCUCAAGACGGCCAACAUCUUCCUCACCUCAAAGAACGUGGUGAAGCUCGGCGACUUCGGUAUUUCAACAAUCCUGCAGAACACGAUGGCAUGCGCCAAGACGGUGUGCGGCACCCCCUACUAUUUUUCGCCGGAGCUCUGCCAAAGCAAGCCGUAUAACAACAAGAGCGAUGUGUGGGCUCUCGGAGUCGUCUUCUACGAGACCCUCACGCUGCACCGCCCCUUCAACGCCAAGACGCUGAAGGACCUACUAAAGAAGAUAUUAGCAGGUAACUACGACCCAAUCCCCACCACAAUUCCGGUGGAGAUGCGCUCCCUGUGUGCCAGCCUGCUUCAGGUGAACUACCUGCAGCGCCCCAGCAUCAACCGCAUCCUAGAGAGCUCCUACGUGCAGAGCACCCUGCGCAGCUUCAGUGAGGACUUGGCCCGCCAGGUGGAGAAGGACCGUACCGACUUCGAGGCGAGGAAGCUUAGCGAGCGCGAGAAGCAUGCUCAGUCGAGCCCCGUGAAGGAGGCGGUGGCGAGGAUGCCGCAGGAGCCGGCAAAACCACAACUCAGCGAGCGCGAGCAGAUGGCGAUGCUGCGCGGCAUGGACCGCGAGAAGAUGAAGGCAAUGCUGGCGAAGCAGGCCGCUGAGGAAAAGUCCGCGCCGAAGACCGCAGCGGCUCCUGAGCAGAUGGGCCAUCCCGACGUGGAUGAUGAUGGCGACUACAUUGCGCAGAAGAAGGCCAUGGUGCAGAACACCAAGGAAAUUGUGGGCAAGUCAAACCUUGGCGGGCACCCAGAGGAGUUCGGCGACGGCCCUGCCGACAGCGCCCCACAGGUGGAGACGAUCACGAUGGCGAAUGGGCGCACGGUGCUUGCCUCCAACGUACGCGACCACCUGGAGGCGGAGAUGGGUUCUGAGCUGCUGAAUCGCGCUGUCGAGCUUUACAACUCUGGUAUGAUGAGCGGCCUCACGAACUCGGAGAUGCAGCACGAGCUGAGUGAACUCUUAGGACCGAAGUUUGCGCACAACUCCAACGCCAUCACGAAGCUGGCUGUCUGGGAGGGGAAGCAGUAGGCCCUUGGCGCCAUGGGAAAGGCAUCCACAUGCGAGUCUUGCUCGUGACGCUGUGAUUGCGGUGCGAAAACACAGGGAAGGGAGAGGAAUGAGGUGUGCUAUAUGGCACCUGCUUCGUCGUCUUUUUUCUGAGUGUCGCACCUGGUGCCAUGUGUGGUGAACCACUGUGCUUGCUAAUACAAUUCCGGUAUCAUGCGCUGUGCGCACGGGAGCGAGGAAAACGAAAAGGUGCUCUCAUACAUCUCCCUUUCUUCACCCAAACGCAUACAGUUGUCGGGGCAGGUGUGGUGGUUGCGCUGGCGCUGGUGUUGAUUGCUUCUUUUAUAUGAGGAUGUGCUGUACUGUUCUUGCUUCCUUCCUGUCGUGCCUUUUUUUUUCUGUUCGUCUUUUUCUUUUUGACGUUGUCCGCCGCAGUGUCGUUGCCGUCGCUGUUGCUGCCCCCCUUUUUCCUCCGUUGUUUGCCAAUGCUUGCGCGUGCAUCCUGGUGCCCCGUUCCUUCCUGAAGCCAGUCGACCACCGCUCCUCGCCUCAUCGCUGCCCCUUCCUCCCCUCCUCAGGUUUCUGCGGUUCCUCUCUCUCUCCCAUAUUGUCUCUCUGUGUGUGUGUGUGCUUGCGCCCACUCUGUUCUAACACCUUUCUGCGUGAUGGCAAAUGUGUCCUCCUUCUUCCAACGCUAGCUCCGUUUCCUCGCUUCCUGUUGGUAAUCACCGAUACCCACGCCUGGGACGCUCAUGGAUGAGAGGGAGAAGUUCGCGAGAUACACAGGGAAGGGGAAGGGGAGUAGAGAGGCAAAGCAACGGCGAAGAGGAGAGAGACAAAACACUCAUGAAAACGAGCGUAGCGAUAUCCCUCUCUUUUCCACAGCGCCCACGUACACACGUAUGUGCGCGAAGGGGAGGGAGUUGCACAUCUUAAGAAGCGAACACGUCUCUUGUCUUUUGUUCUUUUCACUCCCCUUUUUUCCCUUUCUUGAGAUAGCGGCAGCAGCAGUGAAUAGUCACAGUAAAACACCACGAGAAGAGGAGGAGGAGGGCUUGCAAACCGUUGCGCGCUUGAAGCGCCGCCCCCCCUCUCUCUCCCCGGGCGUGCACACAAACGGGCUGAUACAUACACAAACUGCCAUCGAGAAAGGGCUGGAGAAGGGGUUGUGCAGCUUGAUCUUAAAUCACAGGCACACGCACACAAAAUCGUCCGCCGUCAUGUACGUUCCCACGCACUCUAUGCGCGAAUGAAUGCAUCUAUACACACACAUAUAUAUAUAUAUAUACACGCUUUGGCGCGCACUCAGCGAUGGUGUGCAUGGUGGCGACGACUACAGCGACCAGGUGUGGCGUUGUGCUCUCUCUUUCUCUUCCGUUUGUGUUUGCCAUCACUUCUAUAUCGUUCUUGUUCCCCUUUUGUUCCUUUUAGUCUCUUUUCCUGUUGUUCCGGUUUUCCAUUCUCACAAUGGAUGUGAUUUUCGGCGAGAUCGAAUCGGCGGCCACGCGUGGGUCCAAGGAACACGUGUCUGCCGUAGUGUUUGCUUCUGUUGUGUGGGUGUGUCUGGGCAUGAUGAUGGGUCGGCGCAAGGGGGAGGGGCUUAGGGCCGGGGCACGGCCGAGAUAGAUAGUGGCGAAGUGCUGUAAGCCGCUCUUUUUCGUCGAAAGGAGGUGAGGCGGAGGUUGCACCAUUGAAGAGCGCCGUUCGCUCUCGCUGUCUCAACCUCUUUUUUCACCCCCCCCUUCCUGCUGCGUGAUCUCCCUCUUUUCUUUUGUUCCGUUGGUCUUCUUCACCUCCUCUGCGCCUACUUGCUCUCCGUGGGUGGCACUCGUACGCAAAACACUCGUAUGCGUGUGUGUGCACGCUUGCGUAGGAGUGUGCACGUUUUGUGUGUCUUCUACUUUUUUCCACAUGUGUGCGCUUUAGCGUGUAGAAGUGUGCGUGCGUGUUUUUGUGCGUGGCAGUUGUGCAUGCGCCUCUUUCCUUUUUCAUGUUCUCCCUUUUUUCUUUGUCUUUGUCUCUCUCUCUCCUUUUUUUUUCCUGUAUUGGCCGGUGGAGGAUGCCGCUGGCGCGCGUAUGCAACGGUGUCGACUACUAGAGCGAGAACAGCCCUCCUCCCCCUUCCCCCCUCUCUUCCCUUCCUCCCAACGAAAAAGAAAUAAAGCUCUCACACAACCCCGACAUAUACCUAUAUAUAUAUAUGUACCAAAAGGAAAUAGAACAGUCGCCGAAAGUGUGAAUUCAACCCAAGCGAAGAAGGACACGUUGGUGGUGGAGGUCUGUCAGCGGGAGGGGGAGAGGUUGGAUGUUUGCAUGAAAAGUAAGGGUUCGAGAGUCGCGGGGUUGGUGGUGGCUACUGUGUUGGCUCUCUCGCUAGCUCGCCUUUUCUGUUUUUAUUUGCUUUCUGUCACCUCUCUUAGACUGGUGCGCUUUGGCAGGAGACUCG
rnacentral:misc_RNA from 1 species